rnacentral:rRNA from 1 species
UACGAAGGGGGCUAGCGUUGCUCGGAAUCACUGGGCGUAAAGCGCACGUAGGCGGAUUGUUAAGUCAGGGGUGAAAUCCUGGAGCUCAACUCCAGAACUGCCUUUGAUACUGGCGAUCUCGAGUCCGGGAGAGGUGAGUGGAACUGCGAGUGUAGAGGUGAAAUUCGUAGAUAUUCGCAAGAACACCAGUGGCGAAGGCGGCUCACUGGCCCGGUACUGACGCCGAGGUGCGAAAGCGUGGGGAGCAAACAGG